CCCUGACCGUCAGGAAAUCUCCUCUGCGGCCCUAGCAUGGCCCAUCUCAACGCAGUGUCUCCCACUUCUUCAUCUUAAAAAAUUGAUUUAAAACACCCCCUCGCUUCCUUUCCAGAUCUGGCUGGCUGGGCUAUGUGCGGGCAUCAGCAUUUCUGACCCAUCCCAAGCAGAAAGCAGGUGAAGGACUUUGCCCAUUCUCUAUAGACAGGUGGACCAGAGUCAUGAGCUCUCAUGGAAAGUUUCGUUUAUACGGAGACAUGAAGGUUAAGCAUUAUUACACAGGUACUCGCAGAGCUAUGCUCUGCACACAGAGCCAGGGCUGGCUGGGCGAGAGGGCUCUGAUUGGAGACAGGUGCCUUGGGGAGAGUUGAGGAACGACUUGGGGAAGGUGGCUGGCCUUCCUUCCAGGCGGGGCCUGGGGACUUGGUCUGCAUGUGUCCUUUGGUCUAGAAUUUGGUCUGAGAGUCUUAUAAGAAGAGGCCUUCCUCAGGCCAUGUCCAGAAUGUUGCAAUUGGCCUACCAACCCAAACUACUGUGGCCUUUCACCCAGGGAGCCCCCGCUGGGGAGAUGAAGACUGAAAUGACCACAAAUGCCCAGGUAGCCACUGCGUGCCAAGUCCCCUCUUCCCCACGUGCCACCUGCCCUCAAUCAUUGACAGUGGUUAGUUUACUAAAGUUAUAUAAGACAAAGGAAAACAGGUCACAAUGCUACUCCAUAAAAUCAGGGAAAAAACAGUAAAAUCAAAUCAGACACAACGGCAACCAUAAAUACAUAGAAAAACAGGAACAAGAUAGAAUCGUUGAGAGUUUGGAAUAGGACUGGGUGUUGUUUGGCAGAGUAGAUAGCUUUGGAAACAGUGAAAUAUGUAUGCCUGCCAAAGAUGGGGUUCAGAAUUGCCCCUUGGGAGGGGGACACCAAAGGCGUACUCCUCCUCCCAAAUUCAAGAAGGGGGUUUCCAGGGUUCCAAGAGCCCCUGCUGUGAAAAUUCUGCGGUCUGCACCCCUCGAGGCAGUGACUGCCUUUGUGCGUGGUCAUGUUUCGGUUUCAUUUAGACUGAGCUUGGAAGUGACUGUUCAAAUGGCACAGUUUAGGUCCAAAUAGGGGCUGGGUGGGGGUGUGUCUGCCCUGGGGGUUUGAAAGGUAUAUAGUACCUUCUCUCCCGGUUCAGAGACAACCUCUGCUCCACAUAAGGCCCUUGAUCAAGCCAGUUCUGGGGGGCCAGGACCCUGACAAUCCCAACCUUCUAGAAAACUCUCCUAGGCCUUCUCUUUUGGGUCCCCAGGUGGGAAAUGUCUGUAAACCCAGGUAUUGCAGGGGAUUUGAAGUGAAGAGCUUUGUUAUAUCCUAGGUCAGCACCACGGGCUGCCCUUGUUCUGAACUGGGAGCACUUCCCCCAGUGGAGGAUCCAGACUCAAAAGCUGUUCUUGGUGUGCCUUGCUAGGUGCCAGGGCAGCCCAGGGUGGCAUCUUUAAUGAGGGCUUGGCAGGAGUCUCCCAGGCUGAGAGUGGGGAGUGGGGAGAUGAGGAAAGAAAGCACCCCUCCCCGACACCGGGCCCAUCUGCAUGCCUGGGGCCUAUAUCCUUUGGUCCACUCACCUCCCCACCGCUCCCCUAGUCCCUCAACAGGUAUGUCAUGCUUCAUUCCUGCAGGCAACUUUAAGAGAUGCUCAGAUGUUGCUUGGGGAAUGACCAGAACCUGCUAUGACCCCAUUCAAAUGCAACAGACUCAUCUGAGCCCUGAGACCCCAGCUCCUGCCGGGAGAGCCUCUGCUCCUUCUCUGCCUGGAAUGCCCCAGGAAGGACUGUGGCCUCCUGUGCCUUUGCCACCUCUUGCGAGGCUGAGUUGUGAGCCUCAUUCCUGCCAGCCUUCUUGGAUCUCUAGCAGCUCCCUCUCUGGCCAGUGGUUCUGACGGUCUACUGACUAUCCACUCACCAUCUCAAAAUUAAAAGUGGGAUUUUGCUUCUGGUACAAGUUUCUACUGCUCUUAGACUCAGACUUCUGCUAUAGGGCCUCCUCAUUCAGCUUCAGCCAGUCUCCUUUAUGUGAAGGGUUGGUUCAUUCCUUUGGCAUCUCUCUUCUUCACUAAGCCAAGUUUAAUGAGGUAUCUCCUCACAGCCCUCCUUUCUUCCCCCUGGGUCUGCCAGCUAAUGGGUCCUCUCUCCUGCUAUUUCUUCCAUCUGAACCAGGAUUUGGAAGGUAUACCACCUUAAGAUGGGUGUAGAGUCCCAGGAAAAUUCCAUCCUGCGUUUACUGGACAGAACUUUCUGCCAGCUACACAGCACCGAAGAAUUGCUUUUGAAAAUGAGAUCUAUUGCUGGCAAGAAGAUCAAUUCAAGUGGUAAAAGUAUAUGACAAUCUCUAAGUGUAUAUAUACUUAUAUGUAAAAAAAAAUACAAAGAAAAAUUUACCAAAUUCCCAUAAAAUACAUCUAAUUCAGUAUGAAAGCUCUGCCUCUCCACGGACAUCUUCCCGUGGGUUUUCUUUUUGUACAAAAUAUCCCCCAAAUCAAAACAAAACACACACACACGAUACACACACACACACACACACACGCACACAUACCCACAAUUACAUUUUCUGUGACAAUUACCAAAAAAAAAAAAAAAAAAUCCUAGUGCAAAUAUAAAGCUCUGUAAACCUGGUCCUAUGAGAAUCUAAUGUUAGUAAACAGCAGGAAAGCCGCCGGCCCCGUCGACCCGAGAGAGCUCACAUCAUGGUCUCCACAAUGAUGUGGGUCGGUUUCACGAGAGCGCCGUUCAUGACGGUGCGAGAGUUGUAAGGUGUGGCUCCCUCGCGCUCACAGCCCAGCGGUUGGGUUCCCUUGGGGUCAGCAGGUACUUGACUCUCUGGAGAAGGAUGACAGGAGUGAGGGGGAAACGUCAGGCGGCCUGGUCUCCCCUUCGCCAGGGCCAUCUGCCUCCUCCUGAAUUGGCUCAUGUGCUGUUUGGUCUUUGGUAAACUCACACCCUCUCUGAUCUCCUGUUUUUGUCCUUUUUGGAAAUAACGGAAUUGAACUAAAGCGCUCCUAAGGUCCCGCUAGGCCCUGACUCAAGGCGGAAUUCCUGUUGGUGGUUUCCUUCCUUGGCCAAACCCCUGCUUACGUUCCUACAGGGACGGGGGACUCAACCUUCAUGUGCUUUUUUUCUUCUAUGGAACUAAAAUAUGCCUCCCUGUGAUUCUCUCCCCCUGAUUUCUCUGCCUUGCAAAGCAGCAGUUGAGUUCCUCUCAUUUGUAUGCCCUGAGUUGGACAACUGUCUGCAGCCUCCAUGGCUCCCACCUUCCCCAAGGAGAAACUCCAAACUCCUCAGCCUCCCAUAAGCUACACUUCCUGCCUUCUUGCAGAGACAGGUCUUCCCUAGCUUCCUGAAGGCAUCCAGUCCUCCCAGCAGGGUUUACAUCUUAAGGGCUUGGAGAACCUUGCUCGCAUUUGAGCUGCCCUUCCAAGAGAUAGGAGCUGCAUGGGAAUUCUAGAUCACUCCUGAGCAGGGUGAGUUUUGUCCUCACAGUUGGUUGAGUGUCCCUCUCCAAGGAUACCCAGAAAAUCCAUGUCAGAACUGGGACUCAACCAGACUUCCACUCCCCAGUCCACCUCUUGCCAAGUGUCAACUCAGAGACUUGAAUAGGCCAGCAGUUGAAAGACAAACAAACAAAACAACAAGCUCUCUUUCUAGACAUUUAUAUUCAACUUAGGUAUGUUACAAAUUUUUAAAAGCUGCUUAUUAAAAGCUACAGUAUUUCAUUUAAAAACCCAGUUUUCGGUAAUCCCAGCACUUUGGGAAGCAGGAGGAUCGCUCAAGGUCAGGAUUUAAAGGCAGUCUGGGCAACAAAGUGAGACCCUAACUCUUAAAAAAAAAAUUAAAAAUUAGCCAGGCAUGGUGGUACGUGCCUGUAGUCCAAGUUACUCGGGAGGCUGAGGAAAGAGGAUUGCUUGAGCCCAGGAAUUUGAGGCUGUGAUUGAGCCACUGCACUCCAGCCUGGGCAAAGGAGCAAGACCCUGUCUCUAUUUUUUUUGUUUUUAAAUCCAGUUUUCCAUCUUUUCUUGAAAAGCUGCAAGAUCUGGCAACUCCGGGCCCAGGUCCCCUCCUUGUAGCACCUUCUCCAGUUUGCUCCCAGCCCUACCCCCAUGACUUCCCUCACCUGAGCCACCUGCCAGCUCUCCCUCCAUCACUUUGCCUCUCCACAUCCAUACAAUGGGCUGUGCCUGGGAGGGCGGAGGAGAGUCAAACCCCCAGGCAGCCACUUGGGGCUCUGCCUACACAGGAGGCUCAGGCAGAGCUGGAACCACCCUGGGACAGAGAUCUGGGUUUGCCAGAACCUGGCUCAGAGAGAAGCUCAUGGCUGGGAGGACACCUUGAUGACUUGUGCAGGUGGGAGCCCCUGAGGGGCACAUAAAGAAAGAUAGACAGAUGGUGGCUCAACUGCCUUCAGAGGGGCCUUUGGUGAAGUCAGAUUGGCACAGGAGGACGGGGUACCAGUGUGGGGUGAAGCCUGCCCUCACCCACUCCCCCACCUCUUUCCCCCAUGCCAACCCCACUCCACCCAAACUUCUAAAUGUGGGCUGGACCAAUAUUUUAAAAUGAGGCUUUAAAGGACACCAAGUUAGUGAUCUGUUGGGUGUCCCCCCGAACCAAUGGUAUGUAAUUGCUUUGGGCACUCACCAAUCAGAGCAGAGACCCCUAGACCAAUGAGAACCUUUAGAGACCCCUUGCUGUGCCCUAAUGAACCCUUUGGCUUCUGGACAGUAAGGACAUUCUGGAAAUUCUGGUUGGGUUGGCCUGGAGUAUUGUGGGGUCACCUGGAGGGCUCGGGACAGUCACUGUUCCCUGUCUGUCCCCAGGCCCAGUAUUUCAGUCUGUUAACAGCUCAUAGGGCCAUUUAGCGUUCUGGCUAAAGACUGGUUGGGGUCCUGCCCUCUGUCCUCUGAAAAAAUAGAAUGGGUCAAAAGCUCCAGAAUAACCCCAGGGGCCUCCCCAGUUUCAAGGAUUUCCUCCUGCCCUGCCAGCUUCCUCAGUCUCCCCUCCCUCCCCUGCCACUAGCACCACCUCCAGGCCAUUCCCCUGCCCAGGAGGAAACAGGACCCAGCCCAGCAGGGAGCCAGGGCCCCAGGACAUCCUGGCUCCAGAUUUUUAAAAGAGAAUAACAAUAAAAACAGCCCAGAACAAAACAGUGCACUCUUGGAGCCAGCCCAAGCUCAAAAGGUUAAGGGAGAUUCUGAGAAAAGAAUUUCUUGGAAAGAGUCGGGCCUUUGCCAGGGCCUGGGAUCUCCAGGGCUGUUGGAGGAAUUUCUGAGAGGAGGCUGAAGGUAGGUGGGGCCAGGGGAGGCCCCAGCAGGCACAGAGGCAGAGGUCUGGCUGCCGCCACAGAUCCGGAGAAGACCCCAGCAUGGGCUGGGAUGAUCCUAAAUUUGGCUCCUCAAUAAGAGAAGGCAUCUGGGUGGGGCUCAGGCUUCCUCCCUAGGCUCCUGGCUUUGUCCCACCGCUUCAGGAACAUGGCCCCACUGGUCCCAGGAUAAAGCCCCAGCUCUUAGCUUGGCAUCCAAAGCUACAGUCACCUCUCCAGCCUCACUGCCCACCCCAACCCUGCCAACACCAGGAACACCUUCCCUCUCACACUGUCCAUCUGGCAAGUUCCUCCUCACCCCACAGCCCGGCUUCCAAUGUCUCUAUAAAGCCUUCUCCCAUGUGAACUGUACUUGCUUCCCAUUUUCCCACAACGCACUCUCCUGCCCAUAAGCUGAACCACUGGAUGGGUGAGGGAACUAUGGCUCAGAGAGGGCAGGUGACUUGCCUGGGAUCACGCAGCAAACUGACAACAAUCACCUUUGGCCUCGCGUCUCCCACCUCCCCUGGCCCUGGGCCCAAGCACUUACCACAAGGAACGGCCCCUCAGUCUGGCAGAGGCGGAUGACGAUGACCAAGGGAACACAGAGCAUGGAGGAAAGGGCCAGGCUCCAGCCCAGCCCAAUGGCCCAGUUGGGGUACACGUAUGUUUUGUUGUAGGUCAGGGGUACAUACUUGACGAGCGAGAAGAUGAAACAUCCCUGCGGAGAGAUGGGGGCAGUCAGGAGAGGGGUCCUGGGCAUCGGGGAGUGGGGGGCUUCUGGGACUAGGACUGGCCUCAACCCGAGGGAAGGGUCUCUCUCCUUGGGAAAGGACUGGCUCAGAACUCACACCCCUCUCUGCUGCCAUAAGGAUCCCCCCGCCACCCCCGGUAAAAACACAGUAAGUCGUUUCCCUGCUCAAAACCCUUCUGUGGCUCCCAGUGCCAGCAGAUGCAGCCCAAACUCCUCGGUGCGGCCGGGAGUGUCAGCAGAAGCUGUACCCCUUCCUCCCUCAUCUGCCUCAGCUCUCCCUCCGUGUCCACACUCCAGCCACCCUGAAGAAUUCCUUCUAGCUCCUCUGUCACUGAACUCUGGGUCUUGGCAUGGGCUGUUUCCUCUGCCUGGCCCUCUUUCCCCCACAUCUUCUUCUCAUCCUAACUUGGCUCCACUGGGCCUGCCUUACUUGCCCAGGCACCACCCAUACC
rnacentral:lncRNA from 1 species